rnacentral:lncRNA from 1 species
UGCAAUGGCCUGUGAACUGGCAACGGACAAUUGCCUUGAUGCAAGGGAACCUGUCUCAUCUCUCCCUUCCAAGUCUGGGCCCAAAGGCCCUGCAUUGAGGUCAAGACCUUGCCUUCCCCAUUUCCUACUACUCUCAGAGCCACUGAUAUUGCCACUAUCCUGGAGGCUAACAACAAAAGGCCUUGGGUAAUGAGACGGAACUGCACCAGCAGGAGCUAACACUUGAGAAUGCACCGCGGGAAAACAAAGUCGCCCACCAGAUGAUGAAUCCAGAUAUGUUGUUGAACCAACUGAAAGGGUUGCUGAUGGCAGAGGAAAAUUGGUCCCAAAAGGAAAGACUGGAUAUUGAAAUGGUGGAGCUGGAAAGGGAACUGCUGGAGCAGAUGAUAAAACUGGCCCCCUGUAGACAUCAGGAUUAAAUGGUGUGCUGCCAGUAGGGGGACCCAACAUCCGUUGAGGCCCACCUGGGGUGACCAUUGCAAAUGACUGCUCUCCUCUAUCAGGCAACAUAGAUUGAAUGGCAAUAGCUGCAUAGGGAUUCCCUUGAGGAAGCCAUGAAGAGAAGUUACCCAUUUCAGUGUUGUUUAGCCUAAGGCCAGAAACAGAUGGUUGUGAAGAUGCAUUAUUCCUGGUGGUCUGGCCAAAUGGAGAUGGUUCAGCACUCCCCUCAUCUGCAAGAGGCCCAUCAUUCAAAUCAAAAUCCCUGCGUAUACUUGACUCACCAUUAAGAACUGCAACUGAUGAUGAUUUUACUGCCUGAAGACGCCCAUCCAUCCUACAAGUAUUACUUCUAAAAUGAUUGCCCAUAUCACUUGAAUCCUCCACUCUAUUCAAAUCAAGGUCAAGUCCUCCAGAGCUCCGAACAGCAGCAGAACCCAUUAAUUGAUCAUGAGCUGGAUUAUGAUUAUUUGAAAGAUCAAACACAGCAACUGAGCCCCGAGCAGAACCUCGAGAUGCCAAAUCCUCAAGGACUCUUUCAUCUGGAACAUUCAAGUCAAAAUCCAAUGGUGGACGACUGGGCUUGACCACAGCUGCAUCAGGAAAAGAGAUAUUAAUUGUACCUACUGGCAUCUCCAAAGUUUUUCUUGGCUCAGCUGGCCGAAAGGCACUUGUGGCUGCUGAUCCCUUCCAACCGAGUUCACCCCUAUUCUUCAGUAAGUCCUCUGGAGGAAUAAAGGGCCUUUUGGCAGCAGAAGCCACAGUAAUUGAAGCAGGUAAACCACUAGAGGAGGAAGAAACAGGAAAAGGCAAAGGGCUAACCAAUUGAAUACCAGAAGAAUAUUCAGUUGUCCUCGAGUUAUUUGGUUCCCCAUAUCUCCCAUCAUCAGUAUUGAAGCCUUCAUUUAGAUCAAAUUCCAGUUUCGCUUCAAUAUUUGCCACCCGUACAGCACAUAGUGAAGCAGCAUCUGCAGCACCAGAUGUACUUUCCUCAGCUUCAUCAGCAUCAGUGCCAGUCAACUUCAACCUUCGACACUCUGCUUCUUGUUCUGGUUUUUGCACAAAUGUGGGUGACGCGUUGCUCAGAGCUUGGGCACUGCUAAGUUGUUCUUUAGGUUUAUUAUCUUCUACACUCCCUUCCAGAUUCUCAACCUUGCGAUCAGAAACAUUUGAAACAAAAUUAUUUUCUUGUGUAUUAUUUCCCCUUUCAGCAGGCUGACUCCUGCCAUCCCUUUCACCAGCCUUUUCAGUCUUCACCUCCCAAACAGCAGUUUCAGAAAAAUUAUCUUUACCAAAACCAGUAGGAUGAUGCACAUCCCCCACAGUUCCUUCUGCAAACUCAGAGCACAUGACAGCAGGAGGUUUUUGCUCUGCUUUCACAGUAAGGUUAACCUCUUUGUUCAUAUUUUUCCUGUUGUCACCAUCUAUCUCCAUUGAUGGGCCAGCCAAUGAUCCUUCAACAGAUUCUGUCCUACCUUCCAAUCUUGAAACAUCAACCCUACUCUCACUUUGAAUACAACUAUGCAACUUAUCUUUUGUAUAAGAUAUGUCAUCUGCCUUUUCCUCCCAUGUUUCUUUGUCAGAAUUAGUUGUUUUAUCUACCGAGCUUGAAGAGAGCAGAGUCACCGAAGUGGCUAGUGUUUCCUCUGAUUUCACAUUGUUUUGUAGGCAAGGUUCUGUGACUUUCUGCACAUCCAUAUUGGAAGAAUUUGAAUGCCCAUUACGCACCUCUGCUGGUUUUUCUUCCGACAAGGAUACAAUUUUAUCCUCCGUGCUCUUGGUCAGUGAAGUAUCAGUACCCCGCUUCUCGUGUUCAUCAUCACCGCCAUCAACUGUCUGUCUCAUAUCAUCACCUGAAGAUGACUUAAGUCUUGAAUCAAUGCUUGUGCAAGAGUGUUCAACAGCCGUGAUGUUUCUUUGUGGAGAAUUAUCUGGAGAACCCAUAUCUGAUUUUGAUAUUUCCCCGGCAGCCACACUAGCAAGCAGGUUCAUUCCAGCAUCAUCCCCAGCAGACAUGGAGGCAUUUACUUCAGAGUACUUCUCACAACUUUCAAUCAAAGCAUUUAUUGAGCUGAAAGAAGCUUCAUGCAACUUCCCAUAUUUAUGUUCAUUUCCAGAUGAUGAGGAAGCAGGUUUUGGAACAUCUACUAAUUUCCUAGUGUCUUCAACAGUCCUACAGUUCUCUUCUUCAGGAACAGUGGCAGGGGACCCAUCCCCCUCAUCAGAUCCAGUAAGCACCUCUUUGAAAUCAUUGCUUUGCCAUGACUCAUUAUUUACAUCAGGCAUAAUACUAGCCCGACAACAAUCAUUCUUUUCCUUCAAGUUACGAUCAAACUGCUCAUGCUUCUCUGAAAGGAGCGGAGAAGAAGCUCUACUAUUCAUGACUGAAGGGUCUUCAAGAGAUCCCCCACUGGCACAUAGUGCAGGACUACAACCUCUAUUGGGGAUUUUAACAACCAAUUUAUGAUUAUUACCCUCUGUCAAGGGAACAUCAACUGCCUUCUCAAAUGUCAAACUGGACUGAGAUAACUUUUCAGCAGCCUGGCUUCUAUGCAACGAAGAAUUCCUACUUGAACUAGUCUCCCUUUGGGUCCCAGAUAAUGUUGAACCUUGGAUGCCAUUGAUUGAUUUACGAUGUCGAGAAGAAGCACCAAUGACCUUAUUUGCAGUCAUCGAAACAGCAGUAGAACUCCUCGCAUCCUCCUUUCCAGAGACCCCUCCAGUUUUGGCAUGAUCGCUGGAACAAGAUUGACUAUUGUUGUGGGACUGACUAGAACUGCUGCUUUUCUCCUCCCUUAGAGCUACAAUAGGAUGGUCAGAGGCACUACUGACACCAAUAUUGUGGGUCUGUCCUUCGUUUAAGCAGUUACCAGCUGAUGCAGAAGACGGCACAGAUUUCAUGGAUCCUGGAGAGCCAGAUGCAGACUUAGUUGCAGUUUCCACCUGUAAGAGCUUGCCUGGAGCAUUUUUUGAGGCUGAAAGUUGUGUAGCUGAACUCUUAAUUGCCACCUCAGAAGAUGUACCAGAAUGUCUGUUCCCACCAUGUGAAACAUCUGGAGGUCGCGGUCUUCCAGCCCAUGAGACAGCCUGGUUAGAACCAGACUUUGCAUCCAUUUCAGCCUCAACACGUUUCUUCCACGUGUCAACCAAACUCCUUGCUUUCUUUUGAAUUUCCAAGUUCUUGUGUGUUCUCAAAUGAUUCACUGACUUCCCAAUGUUACACAUUUGCAAAGCAUGAAGAUUUACAGGGAGUUUGUCAAGCGCACCGAGUAAAAUGAACAGAAAUUCCUCAACGGAUUUAUCGCUAUCCUUGUGGCUGCUACCAUCACCAAUCUUCCCUUUGUGUACCUCCUGCAGCCACUCAUCAAAUACAGGCAAACCCUUGACCUGCACAAACCGAUUAAGGCAAUCAAACUUAUCUGUGGCUGCUAUAACACCAGCCAGUAUUGACCGGCCCACCAAGUCUAUCUUUUUCUCAUUUCUCUCAGGAACCAUGAGUUGCACCAAUUUUUCAACACCUUCAGAGUCAACAAGCCCCCCUUUUUCAGUAAAUUUUGCAAUCUCAGUUUUCCAAAUGCUUUCUGGUCUGCAGUGACCAGAAUCACCAUAAUCCAGCUUUGAACAACGUUCUCGUUUAACAGGCUCAGAACCUUGAUCAAUUCGUUCCCUUUUCUUUCCCUUAACUUGAGAAGGAGUAGAUGACACACUAUUUUGUACACUAUCUGAGCUGGGUUUCAACUGUGAAGUGGAUGUUGGACCAUUCGUUGGUUUUGGUGAAUGCCCACCUUGGGACACUGUCGCAUGCAUUUCUAUGUGAGUUUUACACAAUAGCUGAUCUACUUCUUCUUGCCGUUCCUGUUCAAAAACGAAUAUUAACAGUCACACAAUGUCAAUUAUCCACAGCAAAACACAUGAAUGCGUCCAGAACUUACAUUAAUGUAAUCUUGGUCGGUAAGCCACCACAAACACUUGUUUGUAAUGUCAUAAACUCUCCGGCACACAAAUGAACAAAUUCCUGAUGGAAGUUCAGCACCUUUAGGAAGGAAAGCAACUCUACACGGAUGAAGUAGUGAUGCAGCAGGAAUCUCAUCCUUAUGAAAGGAAUAGAAUAUUUCGUUUGGCUCAGCUUCCAAAAGGAUGCCUUUGCCAAGCUUUAAUUCAGAAGGUCGAUAAAGCCAAUUCACACCUAACUUUAACUCGUCUUCUUCACCAGUAGUGGCCCAACGAAUUAUUCCAAUGAAAGGAGGGGAAUCUUGGGGUGGUUUGAAAAGAGCACAAUCUCCAACAUUGAUCCUGCGUCCAUCCUGUUAAGAUUGAAAAAUAGAAAGGAAAGACUAGCAAAUAAAUUUAUCUGAAAAUGAAAAGUAGCUAAACAGAGCAGCAGUUCCAAAUCUUUAAAAUUUAAUAAGCUCCAGAAAAUGCAGUACAAGCUUUACACAAAAUCACCAGAAAUAAUUCAAGGUAUCUUAACCCUCACAACAAACACUCAUUAUAAUGCAUAUUACAGUACCAUAACAAAAUCUCUGGAUUCAAAGGUUGCUAUUUCUAAUUUCAGAAGUGGACCUCUUUCUCAGUUUUCAUUAGCCACGAAGUCCUAAAUGAAUCUUGAAAUAUUAUCCAAUUACAUUAGUGACCAAAUAAGAAAAGACAAAUUACCAAAGAGACAAAAAGAAUUUUUUGAGUGACUGACUCCCAUAGACAGAAUUUUUAGAACAAGAAGCAAUUACAAUUAACUAAAAGAACCAGCUUAGGUCACAUGGGUUCCAUUAUUCACUUAAUAAGAUAUUUAUUUUCAAGAAAAUGGAUUCCAAAAAUAGAACUGCAAGUCCCUCCGAAAACAACAACUCAAGAGAAAGCUCCUAAGCAUACAACCAGAAUGUAUAGAUUACCCUUUAACUAUCCUUGGAACAAUGCACAAGCAAAAAUUCCAUGUUAAAUAACAGCAACGAAAUCUUAGGAUCAAGCCUCUUCAAAAAGAUAAACUAAGGAACCUGGAUAAAUUCCAACCUCCUAAACAGCAUCAAUCACAAUUUCACACAUGUCAAACUGUUAAGACACUCCUAAAAACACGAUGUUUUAUUUUCCUUGCAAUGCCUCUGAGAGUAACUUUGUUUUCACUUUACUCUCCUAACCAUAGAAUAGGAAUCUUCACCAUAGUUACCUAGAAUGUGAAACUCUUAAACUGUGGUAUAGAUAUGCAGUACUCAAUAUGCAGGAGCAGGUUAGUUAGUACACUACUUUGAUUCAUGGUACACUUAGUAGGUGCUACAACUUAAUUUGCAGACAUGAAUUACAUUACUCGUACGUAUCUCAUAUUCAAGUGGUAUUUCUGAAUUUAUUUUCCAUACUACAUAAAUCGAUAGAUAUUGGUUUAACAUUAAUUAAUAUGAUAAACUUUUUAACAUAAUAUACAUUUUAUUUAAAAUUUAAGUCAUUUUAUUAUUGUAAACAAUUAAGAAAUACUAUGUAGAAAACUAUUUUACAGUCAACUAGUCAAAUGAAUUUUACUGUCCCAAAACUAAGAUUCCGCAGCUGCAGUGAUACCUAACCCCAAUUUCACACAUCAUCAUCAUCUUUGCUUUGCUGGAACCUUAUUUUAGCAAUCCAGCUUGUACCCUCUAGCUAUCACGCAAAUUGGAAAUGUGCAACCCAUAUAGCAAUACCCAAGGUUUUCACUAUUAACAUACAAACAACUAGUGAGACGGUUGUAUUUGGCGAACAAAGGAAAACUGGUCACAGAACAUUUUCCUUGUCAAUGGAUAAAGUAAGCAUUUCAGCGGAAAAAGUUCUCCCAGUUUAAAAAUAAAGAAGCUAUUAACAUACAAACAACUCUCACUGACUACAGAUAUUUUCUUUUUUAGAGUAAUUAUCCUCCGAUUAAAGUAUUUAAUGGAAAUGCAAAGACAUUGUAGGAGGAAAUAUUCUCAUUGUCAUCUUCAUCAAACAAGACUUGAUUAGUAUUACAACCAAACAGCAUAACAUAUUUUUCUUCUAAAAUAUUUUCUAAUAUAUAUAUAAUUUCAUCAAGGAAAUUACUUUCUAUUUAAGAAACCAGCCACAAAUAAGCUUUAUAGGACAUCCCCUCACAUCCUAUGAUUUUCAAGAAUUGCAACAUCAAUAUUUCUGCAACACUUCGUAUCCAUCUUAUUUUAGGAUUUAUUCAAAAAAAAUUAUCUUAAUCCAAGCAAAGGACUAAGCACUACAAAAUGCCAUGAUAUACUUGACCUAGGAACAACAUGGAUCUCUAAUAAAACAAGUUUGGAGGAAAACCAUAUAAUGGGAGGGAUGAUUAUCCAAAUCACAAUUUCCCCAAACUUUAAAUGCAAAUUUCAGCUCCAAUUUAUAUACUUUUCACAUUCAUCUGGACUCAAUGAAAAAAAUCCGCCAAUCGAUGAAAUUACAGUUUAACCAUAGCAAAAGAACACAUCGUUAAUAACUAGAAGCCAAUGAAUCUAGCAGGCGAUUGCAGCUGUUCAUUUUUCAUCGUCCAUUCUCCCAUGCAACCCCACAAAAGGAGUGAGAUGGCAACAGAUAUCGUUUCUAAAGAACACCAGAAGGACCCCAACUCCAACAUCAAGCAAUACACGCCACUCCAUCAUUUCAGUCCAUUCUUUAAAGUUCCAUAUAUCAAACAAGUUAACAGGCAUAAUUCACCAAAAUUAAAUUUGCUGUCUCAAAGUCUCCCAAAUCAUGCCCGUCAACUUCCCCAAAUUUCCAUCAAUGCAGGCCAAACAACACACAAUUACAAAAAUAUUCGACCCGUUUUCGCAUUAACCAUGCAUACUCGAUCCCUUUUCGGCAAUCACACAAAUCUGUGAAAGAUCAAUUCAUGUACACCUUCGCAAACGCCGAACCCAAUCUACCCCUUCAAAACCCCCCCCCAAAAUCACGACAUCAACCAAACCUAAAAAUCAAAAUUAAAAGCAACCCCAGCAAAGGGGAAGAAAAAUAAUAAAGAACAUGGAAGGAAAAAUACCUUGCAAAAUGAAUUAGCCGGGAAAACCGAAGAAGAAGACGAGGAAACAUCACAAGCUACAACCGAAUUGCUAUGAGUGAGUCCUUUCCACAUGUGCCGACCCGUUUUUCUUUCCUCACCUGCCCGCCCAUGCAUAGCCUUGCAUUUUCCCCCUCGAGUAACAUCAAUCCCGUCUCCUUAAUUCAGAAACCGAAUCCUGCUCCACUUCCUUAUAUCAAUUCACCAAUUUCAAACCCUUGAUCCACCUCCAAAUCCAUCCUUAUACCAUUCUCUCCAGAAUCGAAACCCUAAUCUUCAAUUUCCCGAACGAAUUCAAUCCUGCGACCUCUUCUUCGUCAGAUGAAUAGAUCCCACUGGAGCUCCAAUCCGUCGAAUUGAGGAGAUGUCGAUCUACAGAACGAAACUGAAGAAUAUUUAAGAGAGAAAAAUAUAGAGAAAGAAAGAAAUCGAAGAAAGAGAGACGGCAAAAAUAAAAGUUUCGGUACUUGGUAGAGCAGGGGCGGGCAAGGUGGGGGCUGAUCGGGCAGCUCGGGCAGGUGGAGGAAAGCGUUACCUGCGAUUUUCCCUUUUUUUUUUUUUUUUCAAGUUUACUUUUAGAAUUUUUUGGUAGGGGGAACUUUAAAGUAAAUUCAGUUUUAAUAAUUAUCAUAAUACAAAUUAAAAUAAUAAUCGAAUUUGUUGAAAAUAAUUAUAAAAAUUACUUUUUGCAAAGCAAUGAGUGCAUUAUUAAAUUUGUUUGUGAAAAUGUUAAUUUUCAAGUAUAAAAAAAUUUAAAAAUAUUAUUAAUUGUAGUAAAAAAAAUAAUAUAAACUAAUAACAACUUUUUAAAUUUAAACUAAUAACAAUUUAGUUGGUAAUAAAAGAUGUGAAAUAUAACAAAUAAUGUGAAGAUAAAAAGAGUUUUAAAAAUGUAUGAAUAUUAUAAUGGUUUUAAAUAACCUAAAUAUCACACAAUUGUUUUAGCAGUUUUUUAAAUAUAUUAAUUAAUUUCGGCAAAAGAUUGAAAUAUUAAAUCUGGAAUCUUAUAUAUAGCAUAAUAUAUAAGAUUUAAAAAGAUAACAACCACUUAAAAAAAUUAUAAUAAUAAGCAUUUUCAAUUAGUGUUAGUUUAUUUGUUCUUAUUUCAUUUUUAAGAUAUAAUAAGUAAAAAAAUUAUUGAAUUUGAGUUUUUUUUUAUUUAUUGAUUAAUUUUAAAUAAAAAAAUAAAAAUAUUAUAUGUUAUCUUGUAAUCUAUUAAUUAUUAUUUACAAUUUAUGUCUUUGAACCACAAUUGUUAGAUUUAUCUGUUGCAGCAUCAAAGUUAAUUUUAAUAGAACCUGCAGGGGGCGGAGUCCAUGGAACUGAGCGAGGUGGAGCAGUGAGACUUAUAGGUGGGACUCCUAUUACUGUUUGAAAUUCAUCCAAAUAUGCUUGUGCAAGAUGGAGAACCUGGUGAGGAGUCUGGAAAGAAUUCUUGAAAGUUGCAUGAUUCUGACUUUUCCAUAUAAACCAGGGGAUAAAGACCACUAAAAGAGUGAGAUGUUCACUCCACUGGAAUGGUCUGCCUUCCUCAUCUAUAACAAUAGCUGCAACUGAAUCAUAGCCAUUUUUGAAAUCAAUUACACCAUCAAAAUUGAUUUUUACCAUUCCCGGAGGAGGCAUCGUCUAAGAAGGAGAUUAAGUAUUUUCAAGAUCAUGAAGGCCCUGAAUAGAAGAAUUAGUUGACAUGAAAUCAUCAAAAUAAUCUAAAACUAUAGAAAUAACCUGAGUGGGGUGUGUAUGUUGCUUCCUUAACAACAAACUAUUGCAAUUCUUCCAAAUUCUCCAUAAAAGGAAAACCAUCAAAAGAAUAAGAUUAUUAUCCUACUAAUUAGUAUUGCUCCGCAUAAACUGUAAAUAAGAGGGAUCUUAGAAUUCUCUUGUGGAGAUGCUCUAUUGUCAGUAGUUUGUCUUGCAAAAAAUUUCCACAAGAAGAUGUGCAAUUCAGGUGGAAAUUUAAGUUUCCAUAUGAAUUUCCGUAAUUCUUUAUUACUGCUUGAUCUGGUCCUGCUUUCGUUUCACUUUUAGUAUAGCGUUGCAGGUGGCAUGUAAGGUGAUAGCUUGAUUUAACUGAAUAGAUUUCUGAUAUUGUAUAAUGCUAAGCUAGAUAGUCUUCUCUAUGGAAGAGGCUAACAUGAAUGCUCAAAUUAUUAGAUAUCUCUUCCUCUUGACACGCUUCUUUUAAUUUAUUUAAAUCUCAAGAGGAGGAGCGAUAGUUGAUCAGCUGCUUAACCAAACUAUGUUUGAGCGACCUUUCUCUUGCACGCCAAUUUUAGUUUGGGCUGAAGCAAUUUGGUGUUUGAGGUCUCCUGGAGUAUUCAAACUGAAAAACAAAGCUGAUUUAUCAAAUUCAUACUUCAACCGCUAGCCAUCACAUAAGUAUGCAAAAUGUUGGACUUUGUGAACUUUGACAAAAGUAGCUUUUAAAAAAAUGAUGGAGUCGUCUGCAAAAAGAAGAUGCUUAAUAGCAUAUCCUCUUUUGGAUAUGGAUGUGCCUUUCUGAUAUAAUGAGACAUGCCCUCUGCACAGAAAAGAAAGAGACAUAGCGAGAGGGUGUCACCCUGCUUUAAGCCUCUAAAUAACUUAAUAAGUCCGAUUGGUGAUAAUAAUAAGAAAUAGAAGGAACGCACUCCAUAAUCCGGUUAGUCCAAGUCUGAUGAAAACCAAAACAGUUUAGCAUAUGUUUAAGAUUAGACCAUUCUAUGUACUUAUAUGCUUUACUGAUAUUAAAUUUUAAAGCAAAACUAUAAUUUUUGUUCUUUCUCAAAAUCUUCAAAUAAUGCAUGAUUUCAUAGCAAAUAAGGAUGUUAUAUGAGUCUAUUACUAAUGAAAGCAUUCUAUUCUUCACUAAUAAUAUCAUGCAUAAAUGGCUGCACUCUAUGAGUAAGGACUUUAGCAAUAAUCUUAUAGAAAAUUAUGCAUAAACCUAUUGGUCUAAGGUCUUUUGUAUUGUAAACCUAUUUUACUUUAAGAAUCAUGGAGAUUAUUACAUGAUUAAACCUCUUAAGCAUCUUUCCUCCUUUGAAAGUCAAGAUUGCUUCACAGAUGCAAUUAUGUGUGUAAAUCUCUGAAAAAAUAGCUUAGUUAUGCCAUCAUCUUCUGAAGCUCUGAUGGGAUGUAUGGAUAAUCCUACCUUUUUUAUUUCUACUCUACUGGCUAGACUAAUGAACUUUUCAUUCAUUACGCCUGUAACUUUAGUAGUGAACCCCUUCGUGACUUGCUAAAAAAAAGGAUUAGAAGAGGGGUAAUAUGCUUAAAAUAAUCAAUGGCAACAUUAGAAAUAUUAUUAAGAGAGAUGCUAUCUGCCAUGACUAUCUCUCUGUUUAUAAAUGUGAUUUCUCCUUCUUCUUUGCAAAACUUUAGCAUGGAAAAAGGAGGCAUUUUUAUCCCCCUUCUAUCAUGCCUUCUGCACCAAACAAGCACUUCUUUGUUUAAUUCUUGCAUCAACAUAGUUUCAAUGUUUAUGAUCUCUACCUCAUCCUAGGAUGGCCGAUUUUCACUUGAUGCAACUGCGACUGAAGAAAAUUGAUUCUAGCUUUGGAAUUUGUGUUGUUCAGCUUCCUUCAAUUUACUAGAUUAUGCUUACAGAUUUUCAACUUGGUGAAUGUUUGUAACAAACUAAAGCCAUCUAUUCCUUGAUUCCAUGAUGAAGCAACAAUUUGGUCCACCUCUGUGCACUUUGCCCACUGAGCAUCAAAGACAAAUCUAAAUUUUGGAAUAAGAUGAUUAUGUUCUAAAGGUAAAAGGAUGGGCCUAUGGUCGGAUCCAAUGUCCUCUGGACAUUGAAUAAAAGAGUUUGAGUAGCACUGAAGCCAUAAAGAUGUGCAAACUCCUCUAUCAAUAUGCUCUUAAAUAUGAUGUUGAUUGUCCCUACAAAUAUCCCAAGUAAAAGGGGGUCUUAUGAAGCCCAAAUCAAGAACACCCAUCUUAUUUAAGAAGGAUAAAAAAGAUUGAAUCUUUGCACUAACAUAAGUACAUCCCCCUCCUUUUUCUUUGAUAAUACGCACAUUUGUGUAGCUUUAAUAUUUUAAAAUACUUAGUUAAUGAGUUUGAUUCUAUUUAAAACAGGUUAAUUUGUUUGAAUUUUGAUAUCUUGGUAGAUUAAACUAGGAUUAAAAAAUAAUAAGAGAAAAAUCAUAUUUGGACUCUACAUUCUAAAAUCAGAAGAGUCAUGGACGUAACCAAGUAGUUCACAAAAGGAUAAGGAAGCAGAGUCAUACUUGAACUCCAACUCCCAAAUAUACUUUAUUAUGGACUAUGUUAUGAACAUAACAUAAUUGAUGAAGAAGAAUCAAAAUCUUAUUCUAAAUUCAAGACACACACAGAUAAUCCUCGUCUGUCAAGAUACAUCAGACUCGAUAUUGAUUUUGGCUACUAAUAUUUAGGUUGAGUUAGGAUUUUUAGUCCUAUAUAAAGAUGACAUUCUGAUGUACAUAAUCAUCUCUCAUUCUGAAUUAGCUUUAGGAGGCUGAAAACAUUUUUCUUCUUGUUGUGUUUCAGUCAUACAAGUGUGGCUAAAUUCUUCUUUUCAGUUAAAGAAUAAUUGAGGUUUCAGUUUAUCUAAUUGUGAGAUCUAUGUGAUUCUAUUGCUUUCUUAAAUGUUCUUAAUAUUUAUAUUGUUCCCAUGUCUAUUGCUUAUUAUAUUCUGUUGAUUGUUGCAUUAAGGCACCAUUGCUCAACUGAUAGGAUGAUUUGUUGCUAUUCAGAUUGAUUAUAUCUGUAAUUGUUUAGUUGAACUGAAAUAAGUAGUGAAUUAGAUUGCAUAAGACCUUCCUAAGAAAUAGUAUAAUCUAACUUAAAUUAACUGAGCGUCUCGCAUUUAUUAGUUAGAAUAAGGUCCUUAUUAUUCUUAAUGCUAUAAUUGGGUUAAAUUUUAGGAGCGUCUCCUAUGGUUAUCCAAGAACUAGAACAAGCUAACGAAUGUAACUUAGCUAGUUUAAAAUCUAAGAAAUGAUUGGAUAUCUAAAAUGUCUUCGAUAUCUAUAACUAGUUUAUCAGUAAAUAAUUUGAAAUUAUUUUUACAUUUGUGAUCAACCAAUAAAAUUGAAACUAAAAUUAUUCAUUUGACUGAGUAAUUCUCAUCUUGAUUAUCUCUCUUAAAUUUAACUGUUUGUUUCUUUGAAUUAGUUUUAUUUAUUUUCAUUUCUCAACAUUCAAAAUCCUCUUAUUUUAUUUUUAUUGUUAUUUGUUUGUUCAUUUAAUAGAAUUAAUUUACUUUCAGUCUAUGUGAAAUCGAUCCUUCUUAUCAUUAUCACAAAUUUUGUUUUAAGCAGGAACUUAUUUUUUGUGGUUUCUACGCCUAUUAAAUUUUGAUGCCAUUGCCGAGGACUGAUUUAAAUUAUUUUAUUAAUUCUUCUAAAUGACGCGUUCUAAUCCUAUAGGUAGACUCAAAAUCAAUCCAGAAAUCAAAAAAACUGCAAGGAAGCUGAGGGGUAAAAAAAAACAAACAGUGAAAUAGAGAAAUUUCGUCUUCCAACAUUGAAGAGCAAGAAUAGGUCGUUGUUGAGGAACACAUUGCUAUCAAAAAAUAGGUUGUGAGCAUGGAGGAAACAACAUCUGCUCGAACGAUUCUUCUGGCAAAUCUGACAUAAAAGAAAAGAUGGCUAAAGAGCAAGCAAUACAAGAUGAUGACAAUAUUGAUGAUCCUCACCUUUACAUCACCUAUCCUAUACUAAAUGUACCACUAUAGUUAAAAUAAGGAUUAAUUCAUCUCAUCCUACCUUUAGGAAAUGUGAAAAGGAAGAUCCUCAUAAACACUUGAAAGAAUUUAAUGUGGUAUGCUCCAGCAUGAGACCACAAGGAAUUUUAGAAGAGCAAAUCAACCUUUCAUUUCUACCUAGUUGAAAAUGCAAAAAAUUGGUUGUAUUAUCUACCCCCAGGUUUAGUCACCACAUGGAGAGAGAAAGUGAAAUUAUUUUUUAGACCAUUUUUUUCCGCUUCUAGAGCAUCUGAAAUUAGAAGGGAAUUUGGAAAUCAAGCAAAAGGGCACAAAAACUCUCCAUGACUAUUUGGAGAGAUUUACAUGUCUAUGUGCAAGCUGUCUUAGACAUGACAUUAUAGAUAAACAACUCAUACUCUAUUUUUAUGAGGGACUCACAACCAUGAAAAGACGCAUGAUGGACGCUGCAAGUGGAGGAGCGAUAUGUAAGAGAACACCCUGAGAGGUUAGGGAGUUAAUAUCCACUAUGACAGCAAACUCAUAGCAAUUUGGACCCUACAAGUGUAAUACCCGGCUAAAUCUCUGGCGUCAGAAUUCUAACCUUCCUACGGAAUCCCUGUUGGAAUCCGGAAUUCCCGAAGCUGGAAUCUCCUUAGAAGGGUAAAAUAAGGUUUUUAUAAAAUGAAUUUGAAAAUUUUAAGGUUUUGAGUUAAAAAGAAGAAAGAAAAGAGUUUUGAAGGAAAACCCCAGGUUCGGCCGCCGAACCUUCAAGUUCGGCCGCCGAACCUUCAAGUUCGGCCGCCAAAGGUGGUGCCGCCGCAGGACCUUCCCUUUCGGCCCCCGAAGGUGGUUUAUCCAGUCACCUAUAAGAGGCCUUCAGCCUAAAAAUGAGAGAGCUUUCUCUCCAUUUUCAGGCAGAGGUGAGUCAUUGCCCUUCCUUUGAUGCUCCUAUUAUUUUUUCCUUCAAAUCUUUCAGAAAAUUCAUGAGUUUUCUCUUGUUUUUGAAGAUUUGAGCUUGAAUCCAAGUUUUUAAACCUUGGAGACCUCCGGAGACCGUUUUACCUCAUCUCCAAGUUGGGAUUGCCGUCACCCUUAGAUCUCCAAGAGGUAAGUUUAAAUCUUUGCCUUUCCUAUGUUUUAAUCAAGAUUUAAGAAAGGGUUAAGGGUUAAUAAUGCAUGAAAUGAUUAGAUCUAAAAUUUUAGGGUUUGAGUUGGGUUAUUAAUGAAUGUUUACUCUUGUGUUGUUUUUGUUGUUGCUUGUUAGGGAUUAGGUUAGUUUUUAUAUCCCUUAUGCAUGAUUGAGUGAGUAUGUAUGUUUUUGAGUUGUUGGGUGUGAGGAUCGAAGAGUUGGGUGGCUGUGUACAUAGGACAUAAUCGGGUUCUACCUUGCUGGAGAACCCAGGUUCGACCGCUGAACCUACUUGUGAAGGCAGACUUUUGGCUGCCUAACCUGCCCCCGAAAGCAUGGACUUUUGAAUCUGUGAAGGGGUUUAGGCCGUCGAACCUACCCCCGAAGGUUGCUGACUUUCGGAUCUGUGAAGAGUUUAGGCCGCCGAACCUGCCUCCGAAAGUCCCUGACUUUCGAAUCUAUGAGGGACCUUCGGCCGCAGAACCUGUCGCCGAAAGUCCCCUGCCCAACCUUCCUCUGAUUGUUUUGUGUACAUGUUUUGGUAUGUUUUAGGGGGUCUUUGGGGAGUUGUUUAGAGUCAUGUAAUGGUUAUGUUUGAUCUCUCAUUUGAGUCCAUCUGUGUAGGAUCGGACCUGAGAGACCGUAGAGGCCUGCAGUGAGAUAACUGUGCUAGUUUUAGGCAAGCGUCAGCUAGAAGUGAGUAGAACUGAACUAAUCUAUUGUUUUUAAAGUAACCAAACUUUUAAGCAUGUUCAUGCAUCACGAAUGCCAUGUUUAUAUAUUAGGAUAUUUGCAAUAGAAUUCAUGAAUAUGAUGCAUUGCAUAAUUUACUGUUGAUGUGGAUGGAUAUUGGAUGACCCACUAGCCCUCGAGUAUGAUAUGAUAUGAUAUGGAAGUCCAGGUGAGGGCCAUUCUACGCCCUUGGCAAUAUGUAAGAGAAAGUCUAGGUCGAGGCCCAUUCUACGCCCCUGACAUUAUGGAUAUGUUAUGUUAUGUUAUGUUUAAGAGGAAGUCUUGAGGAGCUCCGUCGGGCACUAUUGGAAUAUGUAGAGGGUUACUGGUGACAAGUCCAUCUUGAUGUGAAUUGUUUGUGUUGUGACGCAUUUCAUAUGAGCAUAUAUUUAUUUAAUUAUUUUUAUGUUCUGCUCACUAGGCUCUUGUAACUUAUCCCUUUUCCCUAACCCCAGGUUUGCAGGGCUCGAGAAAGUCGGCAUAGUUGCUGGUAUAGUCUAAUGUAAUAGAAUAGUGUGGACAUGUAAAUUUUAAUGGAUUAGAAUUGUGCUUUGCCCUAGUUUUUAUCUUUGAAAUCCCUGUUAACAUGAUCCUUAUGUAAAAGUUUUAAAUUACGAGUUAUGUUUGAACCAAGCAUGAGGCAUGUGAUGUUUGCCAUACUAGAGCAUUUGAUAAGGGCUCUAGUAUGGGUUUUAUGUUUUCAGUUUUGAUACAUGCACAGGUCGAGCCAUUGUUCAUGAAAUGUUUAAGUUUUUGUGAUAAUGUAUGAUCAUGUAUGAGAUUUUAUCAGAUACACAGGAUGUAUAGUAGGCUUGCUACGGGUUCCGACGACCUUAAGUCGAUCUGAACCCUAGCGCCGGUAGUGGUCCGGUUUCCAGAUUGUUACAAUAAGACUCUCAUAGUAGAGUUUAUGAGGUAAGUAAUUCUUCUGUUGAAUCUAAACUUUCUCAUCUAAUCACUUUGGUUGAAAACCUUGUUAUAGAGAAGGCACAACAAGUCAAGGCUUAUAGAAUUUGCACUAAUAUGGGUAAUCCCAUUGAUAUGUGCCCUUCACUUCAAGAAAACGACCAACAUGUGGAUGUUGUAAAUGGGUUCCUAAGUCCUCCAUAAAGGAAGUACCAUCCUUUCUCAAAGACGUAUAAUCCAAGAUGGAGAAACCACCCGAAUUUUAGCUAUAAGCAACAAAAUUAUUAAAGCUAUCAGUCUAAACAAAUUCACUACAAAAAUUUACCGGAUUAGUAACGGAAAUUUCCGUUACUAAUUAUUAAAAAUCCGUUACUAAAACUAUUUAGUAACGGAUUUGUAACGGAAAUUUUCCGUUACAGUGAACCUCGUUGCUAAUGCAUUAGUAACGGAUUUUCUAGUCCGUUACUAAAUUAGUAACGGAUUAGUAACGGAAAUUCCGUUACUAAAUUUAGUUUCCUUUUAGUUGGUUUUAGUAACGGAUUUUUUUAGUAACGGAUUUUUCCGUUACUAAUCCGUUACUAAUUAUGAAAACUUAAUAACAGAUUUUUCCGUUACUAAUCCGUUACUAUUUUUAUGAAAACUUAAUAACAGAUUGUUCCGUUACUAAUCCGUUACUAAAUAUGAAAACUCAGUAACAGAUUUUUCCGUUACUAUUUAUAAAUGAUAAUAAAAUAUUAUAAAUUAUAUAAUCUAAUCCAACAAACCUGUAAAUACACUCACAUAUUACAACUAACCUGUAAAUACACUCACAUAUUACAACUCAUCUCAAUAACAAAAUGUAAAAACCAAAUGUCAUGAAUGAACUCAAAUCCAAUAUCAUAUAUUAUGUAAAUCAAAUUAAACAUAUAUCCAAACAUCAAGCUGUUCAAUUUUAAACUAAAAAAAUUAACAAAUUAUUUAUUAUCCUAGUACAUAUGUGUAAUGAAAAAAGAAACUAUAAUUGUGUAGUGUUCUCGUUCUCGUCCUCGUCCUCAUCAUUAGUUUCAUCUGCUUGUUCAGGAGGCUGUGCAGGCUGUGCAGAAGUUCCCUCACCGGGAGCUGAAGGCUGGUUGCCUUGUCUUUCACUCACAAGCUGCAUAAGUAAAUCCUUCACCUGUGAGAGCUCAGAGGUAAUCCGUACAUUUUGCUCAAUCAAUGCUUGUUCAUUAUCCUCACGCUCCUGUAGCUUGCGUCUGAGAUCAGCCAUUUCAUCUUGAAGAUCCUGAUUUUGCUGAGCUGAUGUGAAGGAUGUAUUAGCAGAAGUCUUGUUUGGGAAGAAAACUGAAGCCUGUGAUCCAAGACCAUACACCCUUCUUUUUUUCUCUCCACCUACUGCCUCAAAGUAUAACUGAGCCUCAUCAAUGCGGGAUGCCUGACUACUGUCAUUAUCUGUCUGUGAUGCUUGCUCUUUCAAAGUCAGAAAGCGAUCCUUCAAAAAAAAUACCAUGUGAUAUAACAGUAUAAACUACAAAUCAAAUAAUUUACUAUAAAUUAAUUUAAUUUCUCACAUGAAUGGACUUUGAGCGUGCAUCAACAAACUCUGAGGAACCCUUCUUCUUAUGCGUAGCCUCAAAUAACUCAUGAGAUAGAGGAUCUCUGCCUAGUCUUUCGCGCUGCAAGUAAAAUAUAAAUAGUAAUAACAUGCUUCAAUAUAAAUUCACAAUAAAUUAGAUAAAUUUAAAGUAUUUGAAAAAAUUUAAGUGAGAAUGAAUAUUACGUACCAUCUGUUGUUGAUGCCUAUACUGAGAUAUGGAUCCUCCACAAUGUCUUGAUGGGCCAGCGCCUUGCCCACCUGUUUCACUCUUUCUGUUAUUUGAGAAUUUUUUGCAUUUCUCUUUAUACUCAGUUGCUCCCCAAGCGGAUUGCCAUGCAUCCAUUACUCCUUCUGUCAGUGAUAGUCUCUUCUCCUUCCCAUUCCUUACGCUACACAUAAGGCUACGAUAUCGCUCGGCAGCUUUCUUCCUCCAAGCUAUCUUCAUCAGUUGUUCUAUUGCCUCCUCCCAUAAGAAGUGUUUCUGUAAUUACACACAUUUAGCUACAAAUAAUGCACAGUAAAAAUAAUGACAUGUACAAUAUAAUUUGUAUUACCUUAAAUUCUUGCCAAUAGAAUUCUUUAACCUCUUCUGGUACAUUCUUCCAACAAAAGCCAUCUGCUACUAACUUUUCCUUGAAGAUCAAGGUAAUCCGCCUAGCAAUCGGAUCAGAAGGCUGCAUGCUGUAAAAGAAUAAUUGACAAAAAAAUUAUUUUGAAAUAAGCAAAAAAAUUAAAUGCAUAGUUAAAAUUACUUAUAAAUUUUACUCACACUGAAUUUACUAAGUGAAUAUGUGGUCUGAGCCCUGUAGGUGCACAACUACCAGAAGCAGAUGCAGAUGUAGCCGUAGAUGCAAUAGGUGGCAAACCUAUGGGUGCUGAGGCAGUAGCAGAUGUGUGCACUGAAGCAGGAGUGGAUGAUGCAGCACCCGGUGUGGAUCUCUCACCCUGGUCUGGUCUAGGAAUCAAAGCAUUGUGUUGUACCAAAUCUUGAUUGACAUUUUCUGAUUCAGUUGUGUGGACACUACCCCUGCCAUGGUCUCCUCGACCCCGUGAUGAAGAUCCGCGUCCUCGUCCUCUCAUCCUGUACAAAUUUACAUUAUAAAAAUCAAGAUGUAGUUAACAUAUUUAAUAACUAAAAGUAAAAAUAGAUAUCAAUUAUGUUAUACCUUCUAUUCACUAUCUACAUCUAAGUCAUCAUCAUCAUCAUCAUUUGUUUCUGUUGCUAUUAUAGUUUCAUCUUCAUCAUUUUCUUCACCAUCAUCAAUUUCAAUAACAUCCCCAGUUGGAUCAUUUAAUUGUUGUGUUGAAUCAUCAAUUUCUCUAAUUAUGGCAGUGUGUUCCAUUUCCUCUUGUUGAAAUGGUUCAUCAGCAGGUUGUGUAUUUUCUUGUGUUGGAAGUUGAAUUACAGAACGUGCUUUGACUUUUAUAGCAGCCCACCAUUCAAUUUUAUCUCGCUUUAGGCUAGGAUACGGAGUAUAUAUCACUUGUAUUGCUUGUACUCCCAGCACAAAAGGCUCAUAUCUAUUAAAAGAUCGUUUAUGAUUCACAUCGACAAGUUUAUAUUUACUAUGGAUCUUUGUGCCUACAUUUGGAGUGGGGUCAAACCAAUUGCAUUUGAAAAGUACAACUCGCUUGAUUGGAAGACCUGGAUACUCCAAACGUAUAACUUCAAGCAAUUGUCCAUAGUAAUCGCUUUCUUCGCUGCUGUAAUUUGACCCCUUAAUACAUACCCCACUGUUCAUUGUUGCUCUACUUGCACAGUAUGACUUCGAUUGAAACUUAUAUCCAUUCACCAUAUAUCCAUUGUAUGAUGUCACACUUCGUAAUGGACCCAUUGCAAGCGAUAUGAUAAACUUAUUGGAUAUGUUAUUGCACGAAUCAUGAGCAAAAUUGUUGAACCAUAUAGAGAAUUCACUCUCCAAUUUGAUGUCAAUCUGAGAAUCAUUGACCAACGGAUCAUUUGAGCGCAAUUGAUCAAUGUAAAUGCUGGAAAAACCUCAACUCCAUUAGAAAAAGUAAUUUAAGAACAUAAUAUAUAAAUUACUUAUUUACGAUAACUUACUCAAUAUAGGGUUUCACUUCUGGACAAUUUAAUAAUAUGUACACUUGUGCUGCUUUAUACUCAUCCUCCAUAAGAUAUCUGGUUGUCCCUUUUCCUAUUGGUCGACCGGACUGCAUGAAGAUUGAUAGAUUGUCUUCAUAAUUUUCAGUACUUUCUGAAAUAUCAACAUUCCUUGGCACUUUUCGAUGUCUAGUUUGGACAUACGAUUCAAAGUAAUGUGCACAAAAUGAAGUUGCUUCUUCUACUAGGUACGCAUUACAUAUUGAUCCCUCGACUCUAGCUUUAUUUCUGACAUUAUUCUUAAGCCGUCGCAGAUAUCUAUAAAAUAUAUGACCAACAUUAGUAAACAUUAUUAAAUAACUUAAUUAAAGUGAAGUUAAAAGAACUUACCGUUCAAAAGGAUACAUCCAUCGAUAUUGCAAUGGACCUGCCAGCCAUGCUUCAUAUGCUAGAUGGACAGGGAGGUGUUCCAUACAAUCAAAGAAGCUUGGAGGGAAAACACGCUCAAGCUUGCAUAUGAUUAAAGGAAUUUCACCAUGCAACCGCAACAUAUCACUCUCACUUAUAGUGGUAGAUGUUAACUCCUUAAAAAAAUUACUCAACUCUGUUAAGGGUUGCCACACAUUUGAUGGAAGCAACUCACGAAAUGCAAUUGGCAUAAUCCGCUGCAUGAAGACAUGACAAUCAUGACUCUUCAUACCAAACAUCUUCAGCUUCUUCAUAUCAAUACAUCGCCCCAUAUUGGAAACAUAUCCAUCGGGAAACUUGAGAUUUUUCAACCAAUCACAUAAUACUUGCUUACUUUGCUUAUCUAGAGUAUAACAAGCUUUGGGAUAUCUCCCAGUGACUUCAUCCAUUUCCAACUCUGGCCGAUCACAGAUCACAUUUAGGUCUGCCCUUGACUUGGCAUUAUCCUUUGUCUUUCCCUCAAUACUCAUUACAGUGUUGAUUAUAUUUUCAAAAAAAAUUUUCUCAAUGUGCAUUACAUCAAGAUUGUGUCGAAUCAAAUUUGUUUUCCAAUACAGUAAAUCCCACAAGAUGCUUCUUUUUCGCCAACCGCAUUGCUUUGAUAGACGGGAAUUUAUUUCAAAUGCAUCCUCAUCUAUAACCCUCUUAAACCCCAAUUCAUCAAUCUGUUUCAGUAUUUCUUCACCGGAAAUAGGUGGUUUAGCUUUCUUAGUAACAGAUACAUUCUUCCUAAAAGCUGUUUUGUUUCUUCUAAAAGAAUGGCUAGGAGGUAAAAAUUUGCGAUGAUUAUCAAACCAUGAUUGCUUACCUCCUCUUGUCAAUGUGAAUGCAUCACUAUCUUCCAUGCAAUAAGGACAAGCAGUCCGUCCUGCAGUGCUCCAUCCAGAUAACAUUGCAUAAGCAGGAAAAUCACUUAUAGUCCACAUUAAAGCAGCUCGCAAGUUGAAAUUUUCUUUAUUGAAUGCAUCAUAUGUUUCAACUCCAUUCUCCCAUAAAUCUUUCAACUCAGUUACUAGGGGUUGCAAAUACACAUCCAACUUAUCUUUUGGAUUUCUAGGCCCUGGGACAAGUAUUGUGAGAAACAUAUACUCACCUUUCAUGCAUAACCAUGGGGGUAAAUUGUAAGGUGUCAAUAUGACAGGCCAUGAUGAAUAUUGCUGACCAGAUUGUCCAAAGGGUUGAAAACCAUCGGUACACAGUCCAAGACGGACAUUACGUUUCUCAGCACUGAAAUGAGGCCAAUUAUCAUUAAAAGCUUUCCAUGCAUGCGAAUCAGUUGGAUGAUGCAUUAAAUCAUCAUUAGUCCCAUGAUUGGCAUGCCAAGUCAUAUCCUUAGCUGUAGCAUUAGAUGCGUACAACCUUUGUAGUCUAGGUGUGAUUGGCAUGUAAUACAUUUUACUAUAAGCAACUUGAGUUUUACUAGAGCUCUGGCUAACUUGCAAUCGUUUGUACCUCGGAUGAUCACACACCUUGCACCUGAGCAAUUCAUUAUCCUCACCCCAAUAAAUCAUACAACCAUUUAAGCAAGUAUGAAUCUUCUGAAUUGGUAAUCCCAAGCCUUCAAGCAAUUUCUUUGUAGAGUAGAAAUUAUCAGUAAACAAAUUAUCAGCAGGUAAAAUUUCUUUGAUGAAUUGGCAAAUAUUGUCAAAACAACGUUCGGACAAAUGAUGUUCAGAUUUGAUAUUCAAUAUCCUUGCCACAGCUGACAGUUGUGAAUGAUUUUCACAACCUGGCCACAAUUCCUGAUUAACAGCGGCCAACAUGUCAUACAAUCUCUGAGUAGAUUGAUUUGGAGNNNNNNNNNNNNNNNNNNNNNNNNNNNNNNNNNNNNNNNNNNNNNNNNNNNNNNNNNNNNNNNNNNNNNNNNNNNNNNNNNNNNNNNNNNNNNNNNNNNNNNNNNNNNNNNNNNNNNNNNNNNNNNNNNNNNNNNNNNNNNNNNNNNNNNNNNNNNNNNNNNNNNNNNNNNNNNNNNNNNNNNNNNNNNNNNNNNNNNNNNNNNNNNNNNNNNNNNNNNNNNNNNNNNNNNNNNNNNNNNNNNNNNNNNNNNNNNNNNNNNNNNNNNNNNNNNNNNNNNNNNNNNNNNNNNNNNNNNNNNNNNNNNNNNNNNNNNNNNNNNNNNNNNNNNNNNNNNNNNNNNNNNNNNNNNNNNNNNNNNNNNNNNNNNNNNNNNNNNNNNNNNNNNNNNNNNNNNNNNNNNNNNNNNNNNNNNNNNNNNNNNNNNNNNNNNNNNNNNNNNNNNNNNNNNNNNNNNNNNNNNNNNNNNNNNNNNNNNNNNNNNNNNNNNNNNNNNNNNNNNNNNNNNNNNNNNNNNNNNNNNNNNNNNNNNNNNNNNNNNNNNNNNNNNNNNNNNNNNNNNNNNNNNNNNNNNNNNNNNNNNNNNNNNNNNNNNNNNNNNNNNNNNNNNNNNNNNNNNNNNNNNNNNNNNNNNNNNNNNNNNNNNNNNNNNNNNNNNNNNNNNNNNNNNNNNNNNNNNNNNNNNNNNNNNNNNNNNNNNNNNNNNNNNNNNNNNNNNNNNNNNNNNNNNNNNNNNNNNNNNNNNNNNNNNNNNNNNNNNNNNNNNNNNNNNNNNNNNNNNNNNNNNNNNNNNNNNNNNNNNNNNNNNNNNNNNNNNNNNNNNNNNNNNNNNNNNNNNNNNNNNNNNNNNNNNNNNNNNNNNNNNNNNNNNNNNNNNNNNNNNNNNNNNNNNNNNNNNNNNNNNNNNNNNNNNNNNNNNNNNNNNNNNNNNNNNNNNNNNNNNNNNNNNNNNNNNNNNNNNNNNNNNNNNNNNNNNNNNNNNNNNNNNNNNNNNNNNNNNNNNNNNNNNNNNNNNNNNNNNNNNNNNNNNNNNNNNNNNNNNNNNNNNNNNNNNNNNNNNNNNNNNNNNNNNNNNNNNNNNNNNNNNNNNNNNNNNNNNNNNNNNNNNNNNNNNNNNNNNNNNNNNNNNNNNNNNNNNNNNNNNNNNNNNNNNNNNNNNNNNNNNNNNNNNNNNNNNNNNNNNNNNNNNNNNNNNNNNNNNNNNNNNNNNNNNNNNNNNNNNNNNNNNNNNNNNNNNNNNNNNNNNNNNNNNNNNNNNNNNNNNNNNNNNNNNNNNNNNNNNNNNNNNNNNNNNNNNNNNNNNNNNNNNNNNNNNNNNNNNNNNNNNNNNNNNNNNNNNNNNNNNNNNNNNNNNNNNNNNNNNNNNNNNNNNNNNNNAAACACUUCCAACAAAAAAAUAUUAAUAAAUAAAGUAAUGGUUAUGUAAAUUAAAAAUAGAUGCUUUCACCUCUUCUUCUGAUAUUGGUUUACACAAGUCAUUGUUGAUGUCAUCACUCACCACAUUUGGAAUUAAAUUUAGCAUAGCUUCAGGAAUACUAACUUGCACUGCUUGAAACAGGUUAGAGAAGAAGUGAGUUACCCAAUGUCUUAUGGCCCCAUUAUCUUCUUGCCAAAAACCUUCUUCAUUUUUUAUUUUCACCAGUUGAUUCAUCUAGCGUCUCUAAACUGUUGUUGAAUGGAAGAAUUGAGUGUUCUUAUCUCCAUAGAAGAUCCAACUAAUUCUUGACUUUUAGAACCAAUAUAUUUCCUCAAGCUGCCACAGCUCUUUUAAUUCUUUUUGGACUAGUUCAAUCUCUGUUUUUGAAUUAAUUCUUUUUGGACUAGUUCAAUCUCUGUUUUUGAACUAUCAUGAGAAAUAGAGGAUUGCAAUUCAUCCAGCCAAAACUCAAGUUUACCAGAAAAAUACCACUGGGCUAGCAGAAAACAAAUACUAAAUUAACAGUCUACUGCAGGAGGAUUCUUCUUAAUUAUGUAACCACUUUCAUCAAGACUAUUAACAUGCUUUCAAUAUUAUCCACUGCUCAUUAGCCAAAGUACAAAUGAAAAUUUUUAUCAGUCUAUUUAUCACUUGACUAUUCAUUAAAAUUACCUAACCAGUUGGUUAAAUGGAAGAAAUCUUAAGAUAUAAACCUUAUCGGAAUUCAGCUAUCGACUAAAAGGUUUAGAUUCUCUUGUGCUAUCCAUAUCCUCAGGGAGGAAAUCAUGUUUACACAGAAGCAAAUGGCUGGGAGUUUGGCUUAAUAAUUCCGCAUUGCAUUUGGAUGCAGGAAGUCAGAGACCCUCCAAAUAGGGUAUGGGAGAAUGUCCACUAUCUCAAAUUGUUUCUUUACAAGUAUGGUUAGGUGUUGCAGUUAGCCCAAUUGUAACCAAAAAUUUUAAAAAAUAAAAAGUAAUUUUUCCGUUUCUUUUUCAGUUUUAUUGGAAAAAAACAUUGAAUACAACCAAAUUUUUGAAAGGAGAAAAAAAAAACAAAAACAAGAGUCUGAGACAAGCCUCCAUCAAAGAGCCUUGAAGUUUUCUCUACACCAACUCCAACUCUUCUUACCAAAUUUGAAAAGGAGAAUCAGAUCAAAGCUUCAGAUCAAUCCAGCAAACAAAAUUAUGGUUAAAAUAUCGCAUAAGAAAUUUCAAAUUUAAUUAUGCAGAAACACAAUAAGCAGCCCAUCUACCCAUGUUAAAUCUUAUUAGAACUUCACACCUUAAUCUUUUUUCUCUUUGUAUUUAUUCGUUUAUUCUGAGCUUAUCCUUCUACUUGAUGACACCAAGGAUAAAUUUCCAAAAAAAAAGAGAGAAGGGAUGAACAUCACAGUACGCAGCAGAUACCAACAAAAUCAGCUAAGUAAUUUACCUUGGCAAUAGCAAUUGACAGUCGGUGAAGGCGGCAACGGUGAAGGCGGCAACGGUGAAGGCGGCAACAGUGAAGGCGGCAACUGUGAUCGAAGGCGGCAACAGUGAUCGAAGGCGGCAACAGUUAUCGAAGGCGGCAACGGUGAUCGAAGGCGGCAACGGUGAUCGAAGGCGGCAACAGUGAUCGAAGGCGGCAACGGUGAUCGAAGGCGGCAACUGUGAAGGCGAUGAUAGCUGAAGGGCAGAGAUUUUGGAGAACUUCGUGCAAGUGAGGGAAAUAAGGGAAAGUAAACUGAGAAAGGGAAAUUUCGGGCUUUCUAAUGUUAGGGAUUUUAAAUUUAGUAACGGACACAUCCGUUACUAAAUUUAACUUCUGUAACGGAUAACAUAUCCGUUACUAAAUGACCGAUUACAGAACCAUUUAGUCACGGAUGUGUUCAUCCGUUACUAAUUUUGGGUAAAUUUAACCAAUUCUGUAACGGAUAUAAAUCCGUUACAGAAUUUAGUAACGGAUUUAUAACGGAUGAGCUAAUCCGUUACUAUUAUUGUGUUUAAUAUAAUAUCCGUUAUUAAUCCGUUACUGAUUAGUAACAGAAUUUUUCCGUUACUAUUUUCCGUUACUAAUCCGAUAAAUUUUUGUAGUGAUUUAGCAGCAACAAGUAUCUUCAUCAAACUCAAGUAUGUCUUUAGAAGAUAUUGUUAAAAGUUUGGCAACUAAUACUCAACGACUUCAACAUGAAACCCAGAUAAGUAUUGGCAAUCUAUAAAUACAAGUGAGUCAAUUGGCAAUAUCAAUGAACAUAUUGAAAAAUCAAGGCCAGCUACCUUUUCAAACCAUAAUGAAUCCUAAGCAGAAUGUAAGUGCCAUUACACUCAGAAUCAGAAAAGAGUUGUAGGACAAUCCUCAUUAGGUAGGUCGUGGGCACGAUCGCAAUGCAGACUUGGAUACUAAGAUGACAGUACUUAAACCAGAUGAUAAAUUAGCUCCAGUACCUGUACAAUCCGAACCUUUGAUCAUUAAACCUCAUUUUCCUGAGAGAUUAGCCAAGUUUAAAUGAGAGAAAGAAGAGAAGGAGAUUCUAGAGAUAUUUCGUAAAAUAGAAGUCAAUAUACCUUUACUUGAUGAAUAGGUACAUCGCUAUGUAAAAUUCUUAAAGGAAUUAUGCACCAAUAAAAUAAAGCUGAUAAGCUACCAAAAGGUUUGUAUGGAGGAAAGUUGUUGUUUUUCAAAGUAAAACGCCUACCAAAUGCAAAGACCAAGAUAUGUUUGCUAUCCCUAUCAAAAUUGACAAAGUAGGGGUGAAGAAGGCAAUGUGUGACUUAGGUGCAUCUACAAAUGUAAUGUCAUUGUCUAUUUAUCAUUCUUUAAAUGUUGAUAUUUUGAAAGAAACUAGUGUGGUGAUACUAUUGGCUGAUAGAUCAAUUAUAUACCUUGUGGGAGUCUUAGAGGAUGUGCUUGAACAAAUUGGUAGUUUAGUAUUCCUUGCUGAUUUUUAUAUAGUACAUAUGGAUGAUGAUAGAUUUUCUAAUAUAUCUGACCUCCUGUUAGGUAGACCUUUCUUGACAACUGCUAGAGCAAAAAUAGAUGUUUUUGAUAGCACACUUACUAAGGAUUUUAUGGAAAAAUUAUAGAAUUUAAUGUGUAUGACAGCAUGAAAUAUCCAAAUGUAAUGUCUAUAAUCGAAUCUAUAAUCCAGCAAGUAUUUGAGUUGUAAGGUGAGGAUGAGUUAAGAACUGUCAUGUGUGAGCACUUGAAUAAAACUAAAUUGGUAGUCAUAAAUACUGAUUUCAUUCUAAAAGAAAGGCUCGAGAAUAUUGUCUAUGAACUUAGCUAAUAAAGUCAAAUGUAAUGUCUCUAUUUUAGAAUUACCUACUACUCAUCCUAAACUUCUACCACCUGUUGUGCAGGCUCCACAGCUGGAGUUGAAACCAUUGCCUAUUGAACUCAAUUAUGCAUAUAUUGGAAUCAUUACCAGUAAUUAUCUCCAGCAAGCUGACACCAUAUGAGGAAGAGGAGCUGAUCUGAGUCUUGAAAGAAAACAAAGGUGCAAUCGGCUGAACUAUAGCUGAUAUAAAAGGAAUCAGUCCUUCCACAUGUAUACAUAAAAUUUUAUUAGAAGAAGACAUCAAGCCAACAAGGGAGGCUCAACGCCGUUUGAAUCCUCUAAUGAUGGAAGUGGUCAAAAAGAAAAUUCUGAAAUUACUUGAUGAAAGUGUGAUCUAUCCCAUUUCCAACAGUAAAUGGGUGACCCAGUCCAAGUUGUCCCUACGCAUUAUUGUGGUGAAGAAUGAAGAAGAAAAAUUAGUACCCACCUAUGCUCAAAACGGAUGGAGGAUUUGUAUAGAUUAUUGCAAAUUAAAAGCAUCUACUAAAAAAGAUCAUUUUCCACUUCCAUUUAUUGAUCGGAUGCUUGAACUUCUAGCUGGAAAAUCUCAUUAUUGUUAUCUUGAUGGAUAUUCAUGUUUUCACUAAAUUCUUGUGGCACUUGAAGGUUAAGAGAAUAUUGCAUUCACCUGUCCAUUUAGCACCUUCGCUUAUCGACGAAUGCCAUUUAAGCUUUUCAAUGCACUGACUAUAUUUUAGUGAUGUUUGGUUAGUAUAUUUUCAGAUUUUGUAGAAGAUAUCAUAGAAGUCUUCGUAGAUGAUUUCACCGCAUAUGGUGACUCAUUUGUUGAAUGCUUACCUAACCUUAAAAAAGUUCUUAAGUGGUAUUUUGGAAUCCAAUUUGAUGUUAAAUAUGAGAAAUGCCAUUUUAUGGUAGACCAAGGGCUAAUCUUGGGACACAUUGUGUCAAAAAGUAGAAUUGAGGUUGAUAAAUGUAAGAUAGAUGUUAUUAAGUUAUUGCCUUACCCUGUUAAUGUGUGAAAAAUGCAUUGCUUCCUUGGACAUGCAAGUUUCUAUCUACAAUUUAUCAAGAAUUUCUCAAAAAUAGCUCAGCCACUCUGCAGAUUAUUGCAAAGGAUAUUGAGUUUACUUUUGAUGAUUCUUGCAAAAAGGCAUUUGAUGCACUCAGGGAGAUAUUAAUUAUUGCACUAGUAAUACAACCCCUUGCUUGGAGUCAACCUUUUAAAAUUACAUGUGAUGCUAGCAACCAGGCUGUGGCCACGGUAUUAGGACAUAAGAAAGAAAAAUAUCCUCACGUCAUCUACUAUACGUCCAGAACACUUGAUAAUGCGCAGUGCAAUUACUCAACCACAAAAAAAGAACUUCUAGCUAUAAUUUUAUGCUUUAAAAAAAUUUCGUUCAUAUUUACUUGGCACUAAAGUAAUUAUUUGUUCUGACCAUACAACUUUAAAAUAUCUUUUCAAGAAAAAAGAUGCAAAGCAUAAACUAAUUCGGUGGAUCCUUUUACUCCAAGAGUUUGAUGUAAAAAUUCGAGACAAGAAGGGGUCUGAGAAUUUAGUUGCUCAUCAUCUUAGCCAACUGCCAUUAUUGGUUGAAGAACCUGCACCACUCAAAGAUAAAUUCCCAGAUGAACAUCUAUUUUCUACUUUCAGAUCAAGUUUCUUGCUAUGCAAAUAAAUUCAAUUAUUUGAUCUCUAAAUCCUUACCUGAUGAUUUGACUAGAACUAAACGAGAAAAUAUCAAACAAGAUUCCAAGUAUUAUACUUAAGUUGAACCUUAUUUUUGGUGCAUAUGCUCAGACCAUAUUAUUAGAACAUGUGUUUUGGGUAAUGAAAUCAGUUCCAUUAUGAGCUUUUGUCAUGCCCACGCAUGUGAAGGUCACUUCGGUCCAAAGAGAACCACUCGUAAAAUACUUGAUAGUGGAUUUUAUUGACCUCGUAUAUAUCAUGAUUCCUAUGUAUUCUAUAAAUCUUAACUAUCAAAAAUCUAAAAAUUUAAGUCGUCGAGUUCAAAUGCCCUGAUAACCUAUCCUUGUCUAUGAAUUUUUGAUGUUUAGGGUAUGUAUUUUAUGGGACCAUUUCCAUCUUCUUUUGGUCAUACAUAUAUACUCUUAGUUGUGGAUUAUGUUUCUAAGUGGGUAGAAGCAAAAGCUACCCAUACUAAUGAUGCUAAGGUUGUUGUGGAUUUUGUCAAGUCAUAUAUCUUUAACAAGUAUGGAGUUCCAAAGGCCAUAAUCAGUAACUGUGGAAUUAAUUUUUGCAAUAAGAUAGUUGCAGCACUUUUCAAGAAGUAUGGUGUCCAUUAUCGAACUUCCACAACAUAUCAUCCAAAAAUGGUCAAACAGAAGUGUCCAAUAGAGAGAUUAAGUCCAUUAUUUAAAAAAACAGUCAGCCUCAAUUGUAGAGAUUGGAGUCUUAGGUUUAAGAAUGUCUUAUACGCAUAUCGGACAGCUUUUAAAACACCCAUAGGUAUAUUCCUUUACCGCCUCAUCUAUGGCAAGUCUUGCCACUUAUAUGUGGAGAUUGAGCACAAGGCUUUUUUAGCAGUAAAACAAUGCAAUAUGAGUAUGGAUGAAUGAAGCUGGUGUACAUCAUAAGUUGUAAUUGCAAGUGCUGAAAGAAAUUUGGAAUGAUACUUAUGAUAAUUUCAUAAUUUACAAAGCAAGAAUAAAGACAUUGCAUGAUCAAUUAAUUUCUAUAAAAUAAUUUUUUAUUGGUCAAAAAGUUUUGCUCCAUGAUCCUAGAUUGAAAUUAUUUCUUAAUAAAUUACACACCAGAUAGAUUGGCCUUUUUAUUGUCACUAAUAUUUUUUUCUAUAGUACUGUAAAAACAAGGAGUAUGAACAUCAACAAGUCAUUUAAGGUCAAUAGCCAUCACCUCAAGCCUUUUUAUGAAAAUUUUCCUCCAAAGCAAGUUGAGAAAAUUAGUCUCAGUGACUUCUCUCUACUUCAUUUAUUAGCUUGCAAGAAAGUCAAGUCUAACUACGAUUAUAAAUUAAAACUACUCCUACCAAUUUUUAGUUAGAUUUUAUUUCCUUUAUUCUUUAAUUUAUUUUUUUUUUAGUUGCCGGAGGCCAAGCUUGAGAAUAGCAGCUAUAUUUGCUAUUAACAGGGAAUAUUUGCCAAUUUUUUUGGAUUCUGACUUUCUGCUAUCAAUUCCCCUUCUUCACCUCCAUAGGAACUAGGUGCGGUUCAUCAUGAUCUGAGGCUCUUGCUUAAUUCUCAUCCCAAAAUCUCAAUUGUUCAUAUAGCUAGAACUGCAAAUUGCUUUGUAGACUGGAAAAUAUGAUAAGAUAGAGUUAAUAUGUUAAGAUAGGACUGUUUUCAAAUCCUCCUCCACAAUUAUUAAGUUUCCUUUGUAAUGACUUUUUUUAAAUCAUGAUCAAUGAUUUGCCCUUUUCUAAUAAAAAAAAAAGGACCGAGCAAACGUGAGUUUUAAGAUGAGGAUGGAACACGUCAAUAGCAAGCAUCACUAGUUGAUCCAACGUCAUGAGUUUCUGAUGCCCCGAGUCUCAAGGAGAUAUUUGGAUUGGCGCACAUAUUUUGGAUAGUCUUUUUUCUCAUAUCCCACUUGCUCCUCUUGCUUUUAAAACUUUUAUUCGGGCCCGAUAUUAUAAGAAGAGAUGGGUUGGGCUUGAUGAUUCUUUUCCUUGGUCUGUCGGGUUUAUUUCAACAUGCAUAGCAAGUGGAGUCGUUUUUAGGACCAUCCCCUUCAAUCUGGUUUGAUGUGUCAGAGCUAGAGUCAGGAGAUUGGUAGAGGUGAGCAUCUGAUUUUUUCGAAGGCAGGUCUGUAGCUUUGUCCAUUGUAUUUCUUGGUGUAAUCUCUAGACUCAAAGAUUCAUGGAGAUGGAAAGUAUAUAAAUCAGGUGGCUCAAAGGUCGUUGCUUUUCCUUGUAUGGUUUUGGGAUCGUCAAUGUUAUGCCUCUGGGUCUCAUCGGCGUCUUGAUCAUAGUUUUGGCCAGCGAUGUUUGUGUCUUCUUUAUCCAACAAAUGGUCUUUUGGUGGUGAAGAUUGCAAUGGAAAAGCCUUCAGCUAGAAACCGUACUUUGAUCUUCUGCCUUGUUACGCUGAUGAGGAUGAUUGAGUUUCCUGUAUCUUGCAAUCCCGAUUAAUUGACCUAUCCUGCCACAACCCACAAGAGAGAAAAAGUAUUAGGUAAACUUUCAUAUUUCAAAAUUACCCCUUGUAGUUCUCCAUUGGGUUUUUGAUCCUGGAAACUCGUUUUGAAAGGUUCAUUAAUUGGCAAAUUAACUAUGAUACGCAGCCAAAUCUAAAGUACCUUCGAGUGUUAGAUCCGUCUCUAAGAAUUGACCCAGCAUAUUGCCGAUAAUCUGAGCAUUCCUAGGAUUCAAUUGAUUUGGGGGAUGCCAUGAGCCUGCGACCAAAAAGGCAAGUGACUUGAGUGCAAUCUGUUAAAGGAUUGGAGGUGGACAACUAAGAAUUGGAGCUUUUUAGAUUCAGAGAAUAUAAUUUUCGAUACUUACUGGUCAAUCGUAAUCUUAACCCUUUCUUUUGCGCCUCUGACUGUGAGAAUGGGAUGGGAUGGGUGGGAGUUAUAUGUCCAAACUAGACAGUCAAGCAGGCGAUCUUCUGAGACCCUCUUUAUCUCCUUAUCACUACCAACGACAUUCCUUUUUUAUAUUUUUGAUAUUUCAAGGUAUUAGAAAUUUUUGCUCUUAUAACAAGAAAGAGCAUUAGGAUUUUUUUUUUUUUCUCACACAACCCAUCUAGCAUGCAAAAAUGAAUGCUGAAGCAGUCCCAGGUAAUCACUAUAACACGUCGGAUUUAAAAAUAUAAAACAAUGUUUACAUGAUAUUUAUAUUCUUGUGUUCAAUUUCCUUUCAGCAAAAGAAUUAAGCUUCCAAAUGGUCAAGAUUUGGAGGAACAAGGGAAUGCACAAGGGUCUCAAAAAUAUUUCUGAAGGAGAGAGCAAUAAGCACCACCAAAUCAAUCUCAUCACGUUCGAUCUUAUUACUCGCCCAACACAGACUUCAACACCCCCACACAAUUGAACCAGCGGCGUUGAGAAUAUAUCUUGCAAAAACGCAAGAGCGGACAUGGAUCAUGAAUCAUCAAAAAUCAAUACAAAGAACAAAAGUAAUAGUUCCCCAUAUUAAGUUGACAGGCACUAACCUUCAAAUUUUUCCAGAUACAAUUAAACUCUACAUCAGAUCACCUGUCAUUUGAAUCAUCCUACAUAACGUCCAGUUCCUACUGUAUACANNNNNNNNNNNNNNNNNNGAGGUAGAUAAAUUAACAUCAAUGCACAUACAAAAGAGCUUCAGUUUGAAGAAGUUCACUAACCAAUCCUUCAUUCUUGGAAAGGUUGGAAAAGGAAGGAUGGUUUUGGGUCCAACAGUAUAAAAAAUGUCGAUACACUGAACAACAGCAUAGGCACGCUUCCAGCUGUCCAGGCAACAAAUAUUGCAUGCUGCUUUCCAACAGUUAACAUAUCUACACAGGGGAAAGUGAACAGCUGCCACCCAAGACAUAUUCAAGGAAAUACCAGCUAGCAGACCCCACACAGAUUCCUUCAUGAUGCAAAGGCGGGGAUCAUAGAAAAUGGCAUCAAAUAACUCACUAACCACCCAUCCUUGAAGAGCAAGAGUUAGUUGAUGACCUCUGGAAGUUAGCCAGCAUCAAUCCAAGAACACUGAAAUAAAAAAAUAAUCAUAAUAAAGAAAUAAUUAAAAAAUGUGACUUUCAAGUUUAACUCAUGCACCAAAGUUAAAAUCCAUUCAUCAGAUCUCAAGUCAAAUAGAUGGAGGAAAGACAACGGGGACGCAGAGCAACACGUUUCACAUAAUUUGAAGGCAGGCAAAUGGAAAAUAAAUACAUACUGAGAAUUUAUGGGCCUCAUGGAUUACUGGAGUGCGUGACUAGGCAUCUCUACUGCCAUGAGGAUUGCUUAUAACCUUCCCAGCUACUCUCUGGCUCCUUCCUCUUAAGUAUGCCACCGCCUGCCACCUGAAACAUCCUUGACUGCUCCUCUGCAAUGGCCUGUGAACUGGCAACGGACAAUUGCCUUGACGAAAGAGAACCUGUCUCAUCUCUCCCUUCCAAGUCUGGGCCCAAAGGCCCUGCAUUGAGGUCAAGACCUUGCCUUCCCCAUUUCCAACUACUCUCAGAGCCACCAAUAUUGCUAUUAUCCUGGAGGCUAACAACAAAAGGCCUUGGGUAAUGGGACGGG